rnacentral:rRNA from 1 species
UACGGAGGAUCCGAGCGUUAUCCGGAUUUAUUGGGUUUAAAGGGUGCGCAGGCGGGAGAUUAAGUCGGCGGUGAAAUUUUGCAGCUUAACUGUAAAAGUGCCAUCGAUACUGGUUUCCUUGAGUGUAGAUGAAGUAGGCGGAAUUUGUGGUGUAGCGGUGAAAUGCAUAGAUAUCACGAGGAACUCCGAUUGCGCAGGCAGCUUACUAAACUACUACUGACGCUCAGGGCACGAAAGGCGUGGGGAUCAAACAGGAUUAGAUACCCGGGUAGU